rnacentral:rRNA from 1 species
GACAGAGGGUGCAAACGUUGUUCGGAAUUACUGGGCGUAAAGCGCGUGUAGGCGGCUAAGUAAGUCGGGCGUGAAAUCCCACGGCUCAACCGUGGAAGUGCACUCGAAACUGCAUAGCUAGAGUCCUGGAGAGGAAGGUGGAAUGCUUGGUGUAGAGGUGAAAUUCGUAGAUAUCAAGCGGAACACCGGUGGCGAAGGCGGCCCUUCUGGACAAUGACUGACGCUAAAACGCGAAAGCGUGGGAGCAAACAGG